CUAACUUUUGUCAUAGUGCCUGUAAAAUCUUGCGUCUUUCCUCUUGCAAGCAGCUGGAUCACUCGAAUACUUUCUAGCUACAAAAUCACACCAGAUAGAAGCUACUUGCAACUUGCAAGAUUUGACUUUUACAGGUAAACAAAAUCAUAGUGUUCAUAAUACAGCAAAUUCAUGUCAAAAAAAGUGAAAUAAAAAAAAUUCAGAUCACAAUGAUCCUCACCCCCCCAAAUCCCGUCGCUGUCGCUUCUCCACGCUGCCGACACACAACACCGUCCUUUCCUUUCUCCGUCACCACCACCACCACUACUAGCAGACCCACGUUUUAGCACAAAUCCAAGCCAUUUACUACUACAUCUCCACUUAUAUCCAUUGUUCGGUGAGACAAUCGAGGAAAGCUAAGAUGUUAUCCAAAGAGACAGCAUUCAUUGAGCCUCGAAAAGCAAGCAGUCUACCAUUUUUGAUUGAAGGAGUUAUUAGUAAGCACCGUGAAAAAGCAAGAACCAGAGAUUAGGCUCAACCACAAUUUCUCCAAUAAUUUUUCCUAGCUCAUUUACUCGAAACUUCAACUUUCGUUGGCCUUCUAUUUGGUUGGGAUUGAAUUGCAUUUAUUUU
rnacentral:lncRNA from 1 species